rnacentral:misc_RNA from 1 species
CGGCUGUGCUCGAGAGCGCACGAUGUCAUCUUCGUGAUUCGCGCGCCUUAGCCUUUUCUUUUUGUUUCUUCGGUUAUUGCCUUUGUAUUCAAGCUCCCAUCUUUCAUCUGCCUACCAACAGAGCAGCACCCAGAGAGAGAGAUACAGGCAGCCAAGAGUCUUGGUCCUACCAAGCACCAGACACGCACACACACACUGGAUAUCCCCAAGGAAGAGGGGACGGUUAUCAGAGACGGUGCCUCCUGUCUCACCCCCUCUCUCCCUUCCUCCCUCCCCCCUUCUGCAAGUAUCUUGUGUUUUGAAUAUUUUGUUGUUGUGGAGAGCCGCGUGUCGCUUGCCUGCUGAUUGUGUUCUGCUUUUGCUUUCGGCGCGUGCUCUUCUUACGCCUGGCGGCGAGACAGUAUUUUCGACCACCUCCCUCUUCGGCCGUCUCCUGCUUUUCGCGUCUUCAUUUCCGUAACCUUCCAGCACGAGCUCGAUGCUGAAGCUGUCUCGCAUGACUCGCAGCAGCCGUUACACGCCGGUUGUGGGGUGCGCUUUUCUAGUGGAGACGCUUUACGGCUCCAAGUACAGUGCCAAUGUGGGCUUGUACAGCAUGCCGUACGUCUACGUAAAGACGAUUUUACUGUGCGCCACCGGGAACGGCCUCAAGCUACGCGAGGGUCGCUAUAUCCACGGCCUCGUCGAGCUCCUUCUGCCAUCGAAGGUGUCACAGGACAACUUGACCAAGCUGGAGCUGUUGCAGUUUGUCGACGCCAUCCCGAUGGAUCGCUACGCCAGCGGCAACGGCGAGUCCUCAACGGUUGAUGAGGAGGCGGAGGACCAGGCCGUGCUGGCGCUCAUGUUACACGGCAACGGCGAUGCCAGCAGUGAUGAUUCUACGGCUGCGGCCAUUUACGCAGAGUAUUGUGCGUCUUCGCCAUCACCGCUGCACGACGAGUGCAGGGCGCUGCAACGCCCUCUACAAGACUGCAGCGACGGGAGCCAUAGGCAUUCGAUGGGGGACGCCGCUUGCGAUCUUGAGGGCUCCGAUGCACCGGCUCGCCUCGGCUCUGAGGCCGCCGCCGCCGCCGCUGCUGCUGCUGCUGCGCGCAGUCGCGCCGAAGAGGCGGAGGAUGACGCGGCUGCGGUGGAGUCGAUCAUGUCCUUCGUCUCCGCUACCGCGUUUCCGUCUUCCAUUGCGCGAGUGCUCAUCUACGACGCCGUAUGCACGUGCGUGGCGGACGGCCUCUACAGUGCCAAGGAGAAGGAGCGUGUCGCAUUGUUGUCGAGCCACAUCGGCCUUUCCUCUGCUGUGCGUAGCCAGAUCGAAAAGUUGGCGCUGCAGGAAAAGGUAAUCUCCAUUCGCAAGCGGCGCCUGCUGCUUCUCCAGCCCUUACACACGAACAAGACGCCGAAGAGGGAUGAGCAGCGCUGGCAAGCGUUCAGCACACUUGGCAGCGCGGCGAACUCGAUGUCUCACGAGCAGGGGCGAAGCGGAGCAGACGCUGCGGGUAGGCGCGAUGCCGGCGACCGCGGCGACCGCCAAGACACCGAGGACGAGGCGGACACUUUUGCCGCCGAGGAGGCCAUGCGAGUGGAGGCGGCGAAGACGCUGCUGCGGCGCGCACGAGCGCAUCGGUCAAGCAAGCGGUACGCUGGCGUCUGAGAGUCGCGUCAUCAGCGCACCAUGCGUGGCUGGACGCCAGUUCGUUGCGCGCGCUGGUCGUUUGGAGCUGGCCCUCUUGCCCGAACUCCCAUGCCCGCAUGCGCUGCAGCAAAGCCGAGAAACGCGUUGUUCGGUUCCCUCUUUAUUUUUGCUUGUUUCGUGGCUGUGAUGUUCUAUCAUGUGCUUCUUGAUGCGGUGGAUGCACUAUGUAUGCACGUGUACGUUCGCGUUUGUGUUCGAGCCUUUACAUCUCGCUCACACUCCCUCCUCCCUCCCCACACACACACAAACGGCUAGGCGAGCGCACAUCCACCCGCAGACAUACGCACACGUGAGAG